AUGAUUCUUCAGAGAGAUUUCUUGCCAAAAAUAUUAACUCUCUCCAGCAGUGGGCAGGGCACUGUCAAGGUUAUCCUAGACUACUUGGGGACAAUAUCAUCAGUUUCUUGCAUACUGCAAUAUUUAGAAAAAUAUGAUUUCUGCUAUGGUAGUUUCCAGAAUUGUUUGGCCCUUGAGACACUUCCACUGUUCACCUUGACCUUCACUGCCCGUGAUGAGUCAGAAACUGAAGAAGAUGAUCCCUUGGACACAGAAGAUGCUUCCUCUGUCCUCAUCGCUGCACUACAGUCUUUUGGCCAAGCUCUGGUGAAUGACAACGAAGAAAAAGAUAUCGUUAAAGAGGAGAUUGGGCGAGGUUUUGUAUCUUCUCAGGGGUUGCUAUCUUGCCGUGCAUACUCAGCUUCUUUGGGUCCAAGAGGACCCGGAUCCCGGACGGCGCGCUGCUCUGGCCCCACUCCACUCACCAUGCUGGCUACCCAGCUCGGCCCUGCGCAGGUAUUCACCCACCUUUCCACUGUACUGUCGUAG
rnacentral:rRNA from 1 species